rnacentral:rRNA from 1 species
GGAUUAGAUACCCUGGUAGUCCACGCCGUAAACGAUGAUAACUGGUUAUGGGCGGCACACAGUCCGUGACUGAGCGAAAGCAUUAAGUUAUCCACCUGGGGAGUACGCCGGCAACGGUGAAACUCAAAGGAAUUGACGGGGGCCCGCACAAGCGGAGGAACAUGUGGUUUAAUUCGAUGAUACGCGAGGAACCUUACCCGGGCUUAAAUGGGAGACGGCCGGCGCAGAGAUGUGCCUUCCCUUCGGGGCGUCUUUCAAGGUGCUGCAUGGUUGUCGUCAGCUCGUGCUG